CACCUAUUUUGUUGACGGGGUGGGUUUGUUGUUUGUUGGGCUGAUCCGGCCCGGAUUACCACGUAACAAUAUUCUGAGACAAAGUUUCCGGCAAACAAUGAGUGAGAGAGAUGGCUUUCUCUCUUACUAAUUUCUCCUUCACCACAGUCGCACUACUACUCACAACCGCUGGAUAUUCCGAGACUCAUCAGAUCAUUCCAACCGGUAGUUUCUGGAGAUCUGAAGCAAUAUUCUGAUGCUUAAAUGGCGUCAUCCGAACAACCGCUGGAUAUUCCGGCGAAUCUAAAUCUAAUCCAGAAUAUCGAAGCUCAGGCGAUCAUGCCGAGUAGAAUAUGAUCCAAGAGUAAUCAGUUAUAGGCAAAUGCAGGUCAAUUAUAUUUGCAAAUGGAUCUGAUGAAUCGAGAUUGGCGUCUGUUUGUAAAGAAAAAGAGCAAUUGAAGUCUAGGACUCAAAUUCAACAACUCGUCGCAUUUUAUCCGGCGGAAUCUGAACAUCAGGUUUCUUUUAACUUUGUGUUUCUCCGGUUUUGUUAUAUUUGUUGGUUUCCACUGAUGAUUAAUUUAUAGAUAAUUGUAAUUCUUUUAAUCUAAUUCUGCUUCAAUUUGAUUAUAGAAAAUUGUACAAUUUUGUAA